rnacentral:rRNA from 1 species
GGAAUCUUAGACAAUGGGCGCAAGCCUGAUCUAGCCAUGCCGCGUGAGUGAUGAAGGUCUUAGGAUCGUAAAGCUCUUUCGCUGGGGAAGAUAAUGACGGUACCCAGUAAAGAAACCCCGGCUAACUCCGUGCACGCAGCCGCGGUAAUACGGAGGGGGUUAGCGUUGUUCGGAAUUACUGGGCGUAAAGCGCACGUAGGCGGAUCGGAAAGUUGGGGGUGAAAUCCCGGGGCUCAACCUCGGAACUGCCUUCAAAACUAUCGGUCUAGAGUUCGAGAGAGGUGAGUGGAAUUGCGAGUGUAGAGGUGAAAUUCGUAGAUAUUCGCAGGAACACCAGUGGCGAAGGCGGCUCACUGGCUCGAUACUGACGCUGAGGUGCGAAAGUGUGGGGAGCA